UACGUAGGGUGCAAGCGUUGUCCGGAAUUAUUGGGCGUAAAGAGCUCGUAGGCGGUUUGUCGCGUCUGCUGUGAAAACUCGGGGCUUAACCCCGGGCCUGCAGUGGGUACGGGCAGACUAGAGUGCGGUAGGGGAGGCUGGAAUUCCUGGUGUAGCGGUGAAAUGCGCAGAUAUCAGGAGGAACACCGGUGGCGAAGGCGGGUCUCUGGGCCGAUACUGACGCUGAGGAGCGAAAGCGUGGGGAGCGAACAGG
rnacentral:rRNA from 1 species